UGGGGAAUUUUGGACAAUGGGGGAAACCCUGAUCCAGCCAUCCCGCGUGUGCGAUGAAGGCCUUCGGGUUGUAAAGCACUUUUGGCAGGAAAGAAACGUCAUGGGCUAAUACCCCGUGAAACUGACGGUACCUGCAGAAUAAGCACCGGCUAACUACGUGCCAGCAGCCGCGGUAAUACGUAGGGUGCAAGCGUUAAUCGGAAUUACUGGGCGUAAAGCGUGCGCAGGCGGUUCGGAAAGAAAGAUGUGAAAUCCCAGAGCUCAACUUUGGAACUGCAUUUUUAACUACCGAGCUAGAGUGUGUCAGAGGGAGGUGGAAUUCCGCGUGUCGCAGUGAAAUGCGUAGAUAUGCGGAGGAACACCGAUGGCGAAGGCAGCCUCCUGGGAUAACACUGACGCUCAUGCACGAAAGCGUGGGGAGCAAACAGG
rnacentral:rRNA from 1 species